rnacentral:rRNA from 1 species
AACGAACGCUGGCGGCAUGCCUAACACAUGCAAGUCGAACGAGACCUUCGGGUCUAGUGGCGCACGGGUGCGUAACGCGUGGGAACCUGCCCUUAGGUUCGGAAUAACUCCCCGAAAGGGGUGCUAAUACCGGAUAAUGUCUUCGGACCAAAGAUUUAUCGCCUUUGGAUGGGCCGGCGUUGGAUUAGCUAGUUGGUAGGGUAAAAGCCUAUCAAGGCGAGGAUACAUAGCUGGUCUGAGAGGAUGAUCAGCCACACUGGGACUGGGACACGGCCCAGACUCCUACGGGAGGCAGCAGUGGGGAAUAUUGGAAAAUGGGGGGAAGCAUGAUCCAGCAAUGACGGGUGAGUGAUGAAGGCCGUAGGGUUGUAAAGCACGUUUACCCGGGAUGAUAAUGACAGUACCGGGAGAAUAAGCUCCGGCUAACUCCGUG